AGUGAACGCUGGCGGUAGGCCUAACACAUGCAAGUCGAACGGCAGCACAGUAAGAGCUUGCUCUUACGGGUGGCGAGUGGCGGACGGGUGAGGAAUACAUCGGAAUCUACUUUUUCGUGGGGGAUAACGUAGGGAAACUUACGCUAAUACCGCAUACGACCUACGGGUGAAAGCAGGGGAUCUUCGGACCUUGCGCGAUUGAAUGAGCCGAUGUCGGAUUAGCUAGUUGGCGGGGUAAAGGCCCACCAAGGCGACGAUCCGUAGCUGGUCUGAGAGGAUGAUAAGCCACACGGGAACUGAGACACGGUCCAGACUCCUACGGGAGGCAGCAGUGGGGAAUAUUGGACAAUGGGCGCAAGCCUGAUCCAGCCAUACCGCGUGGGUGAAGAAGGCCUUCGGGUUGUAAAGCCGUUUUGUUGGGAAAGAAAAGCAGCAGGUUAAUACCCCGCUGUUCUGACGGUACCCAAAGAAUAAGCACCGGCUAACUUCGUG
rnacentral:rRNA from 1 species